rnacentral:lncRNA from 1 species
ACAAUGAAACCUCUUUCACCACUCACCCUUUCCUUCCUCCUCUUUGUUUUCAUCACCACUCUUUCACUAGCUUUCUCAAAUGAAGAUGUUGAGCAAGUAUUGGACGUUAAUGGCAAGCCCAUUUUCCCCGGUGGCCAAUACUACAUCUUGCCAGCAAUCACUGGAUCCUCUUUGUUUUCAUCACCACUCUUUCACUAGCUUUCUCAAAUGAAGAUGUUGAGCAAGUAUUGGACGUUAAUGGCAAGCCCAUUUUCCCCGGUGGCCAAUACUACAUCUUGCCAGCAAUCACUGGCCCUCCCGGCGGAGGAGUAAGACUCGGAAGAACCGGUGAUUUAACCUGUCCAGUCACCGUCCUACAAGACCGCCGAGAAGUUAAAAACGGUCUACCAGUGAAGUUUGUUAUACCAGAAAUAUCUACUGGUAUAAUUUUCACUGGUACACCAAUUGAAAUAGAGUAUACAAAGAAACCUAAUUGUGCAAAAUCAUCAAAAUGGUUAGUAUUUGUUGACAAUGUUAUUCAAAAGGCCUGUGUUGGUAUUGGUGGUCCUGAGAAUUACCCUGGUAUUCAAACAUUGAGUGGAUUAUUUAAGAUUGAGAAGCAUGAAUCUGGAUUUGGCUAUAAGCUUGGAUUUUGUAUUAAGGGUUCUCCUACUUGUUUGGAUGUUGGAAGAUUUGAUAAUGAUGAAGCUGGAAGAAGGUUGAAUUUGACUGAGCAUGAGUCCUUUCAAGUUGUGUUUGUUGAAGCUGAGGCUAAUGAUGCUGAGUUUAUUAAACUCCUACUUGUUUGGAUGUUGGAAGAUUUGAUAAUGAUGAAGCUGGAAGAAGGUUGAAUUUGACUGAGCAUGAGUCCUUUCAAGUUGUGUUUGUUGAAGCUGAGGCUAAUGAUGCUGAGUUUAUUAAAUCUGUUGUUUGAAUUUUAGUUUAGUAUAAUUAAGCUAGAUUGUGUGAGUUUUAGUUCUUGCACAGUUUUAAGCAUAUAAUAAAAUGGAAAUAUUUGUGUUCAAUGUUUUCUCUCUUCUAUUAUUUUUCUCUUUAUAUAUAUCAUUCAUUAUAUUCUCUCUCUCUAGUUGUUACAAAAUCAUUAAGGAUAAGUUUUGUUACUAUAUUUUUGGAUUGAAUUCUUAAAUGGUUUUGUCAUUGAUUGUUUCAAGGGAUGUUCACGUGGAUACAGCAGAAAUAUUUACAAGCCUUAGUGUCCUACUAUGUUUGUUAAUUACAAUUACAAAUAUCACCAAAAGUAAGAGAAAGUAGCUUAGGCAGUUUUGGUAACUUUUCAGGGUAAAACAGAAAUGUACUUUGCCCACGAGGAGCUCGUGGUUACAAUUUUGCAUAGAUAAUUAUUCUUUCUAAAUUAUUGUUUUUUCUUUUAUUUGAUUUCUAAAUUAUAAAAAUUAUGUACAUUUUAAUUAAUUAGGUGUAGCGUAGGUUUUUGAAUUUUUUUUUUAAAAUAACUAUCAUUUUCAAAAUUAAUUUCAAAAUAAUAGAUUUUUCAAAAAACUUUCCAAAAUAACCACCUUUAAAAAAAGAUGCGUCAGAUGAACUAGCGCAACCGUCUUAAACCAAGAGGAGGCACCUGCGUUGCAAGUCUUAUGAGGAGGCGUCAAUGUCUAUGGCGCCUAUUUUGUGUCUCAUGAGGAGGUGUCAAUGUAUAUGACGCUUGCAUUGUGUCCUAGGUGUAUGCGUCAAUUCAUCUGGUGCAUACACCCUUAUAUUAUAUAUUUUUUUAAUUUUUUUUUUAAUUUAUGAAAUAAUAAAAAAUAAUGUAAAAAAAAUUAUAUUCAUGAUAUAAUCAAUGUUACAUGGGAUUGACAAAAAUUUAAAGACCAGCCUGAUCGAAACGUCCAUCUAUUCCACAUCCAGGUGGUUAGUUUUUCUCUGAGGUCUCCCACAAUUUUCCUGAGGUGUUUGGGGUUUUUGCAUGUUGACCGGAUCGAAUGAUGUCUGGUGUAAAGAUCUGACGGAAGUUCCAGUGGUAUUUGACAGAUGUGUCAUCAUUUGUUCCCAAUAUCCGGGGGGCUCUGGCCAACGACACUUCCGUAAUGGAGUUUGGUGUCCAUGUCAUCGUAGUUAGGUCGAUGGGAUUGGAUGGAUUGUGGACGGUAUAAUUGCCCAAAUUGGGACAUUAAAUCGUUUUGGAAACGAAGCAAUGGUUCCUAGGGCAUUCUAUAGUUAAACAAUGAUUGUGUGUUUUGGUGAUGGGAUGUUUGAGUGGUCAUUGGUGGGGGGCUACGAUGAAGUGACCCAUAUGAAUCAUUUGGGCUAUAGACGUUUGUGGUUGAUGCGUAUGAUUGUUGGUGGGUAGGGUUUGAUUCUUGGUUUUGUGGUUGGGUGGGGGACAUGAAUGGAUUGCGACGUUGGGUGUUUGGUUGUUUGGUGGAUGGCAUGAAUGGGUUGUGAAGUUGGGUGUUUGGUGGUUGGGUGUAUGUGGUAGGUUGAUGGUGUGAGGUUGGUUGUUGGGUUUGGGUGGUUUGACAUUGGUGUUGGACGGGGACUUGUUGGGCGUAUGAUGACGAAGUUAGUUGGCAUGGAUCUAUCAAAUACCGCGGCUCAGACACAAAUUGUUGAGUUGUUACCGACCUAAACCAUGUCAUAUAUUAUUGAGUUGGUCCUGCAUCAUGGAUGAUUGGUUCGUUUAAGAUGUGUUAUCGUCGAUUCCUCCAUUGACGACACAUCUCUUUUGCAAAGUCUCUCCAGUCGGAAUAAUCCCAUUGGGCAUCAACUCUUUUUUGAUGCCAAUUCCCUAAACACGCCGGAGGUUCUGGAAUCUGUUGUUGCAUGUCGAACUGCGGCUUUACCCGGUCACUCUAGUCCAUUUCCACAGUAUUGAACCGGAUAAUUGGUGUCUUUGUUGUCUAAACUGUAGCAUCGUCAUGGUUCACAUGAUGAUCAAGAUCCAGAUAUGGCCUCUAGAUAAACUGUAAAAUAAUACGAAACGAUUAGAUGAUAAAUAAUUUGAUAAGUAUUUUUAAAUUAAAAUAUAAUUGUGUAAGAGUAUUACAUCGUAUGGUCCAAUGUCGUCCAAUAGAUUGCGAUAGACUACUAUAGCGUGUUUCAAACACCUAUUGUAGUUCAUCCCCCUUACUUACCACCUUAGAUAAAAAAAAUUGAAAAAUAUUAUUUACAGUUAAUUGUAGUAUAAAAUAUAAUUAAUUAAAUGGUAAAGUGUUACACUUACUUUGUUGCAAACGGGAACACGAAUGGGUUCUCGUUUAUCGGGGCGAGUGACGACAUUCUUAAUCAACUCCAUGCUUGUAGCAAAUACGCACAUGAAAAAAACGUACAAGUAUUCUUUUUUGCAUUUUUACACAUUACACUAUAUAUAUGGGGCAACACAGCUGAACCCCAACUAUAUGUGCUUACCUUAUUAAUGUUGCGUAACAAUGGUAAAUACAUAAUAUUUACUGAAUUACCUGUACUUUUUGGAAAUAAAAAAUUACCAAAUAAAAUCAUAAUAUAACACCGAGCUUUAAUUAUUUUUUCGUACUCGGUUGAUUCUUCGGACAAUAUUAUACUCGCAUUAUAUUGUUUAAGGUAUUUUAAAUUUAUACAUUGUCCCAUUGCUUGACCGGAUGACUCUCCCUCAGUUUGGUCGUUACACAAAGGGGCAUCCAAUAAUUUGUUGUAGAUAGAGUUGUCCUGGUUUACUCUACUAUUCAAGGUCUUACCAUCUAUACGGAGACCCAACAACAUGUAUACGUCCUCAAGUGUGACGGUACACUCACCGAAAAGAAGGUGAAAUAUAUGGGUCUCGGGUCUCCAUCUCUCCAACAAAGUAAGAAUGAACUUGUAGUCUACCGAGUACGAGACAAUGUUAAGGAGAUUUCCAAAUCCACAUCCUCUAAUAUAUGGUUCUAUCAAAGGAUUAUGGGGUACAUAUUCAUGUACACGACAUCGAAAAUGCUUUGGGUCCUAAUAACACAUAAGUAAGAAAUACAAUAAGAAGAAGUAAUAUAUAAUACAAACAUAGAUAACAAAGGUAUACGAAUUAAAUAUGGAAUAAGUAAAAAGAGAGUGAUAACAUACAAACGUCGAGAUAUUCUCGAGUGUUCCUCUGUGUUCAUCACCCAUAGUCAACAGGGACAUAAUUUGAUGUUGCAGAGCUUGAGUGUGGCAGAGAAAGAAUGUGGUAAAGAAAGAGUAUAAAUGAUUAGUGUUGGAGAUGAUUUAAUGUUGUGAUUUGAAGCCUAUUUAUAGAUGAGGGAGUCUUACUAGGUUUGCAACCUAUGCAGCAUAUGAUUAUGGCAAAGUAGAGUAGCCAUAGUCUUAGGCGCAUGAAUGUGAUAUUCACAUGCAAAGAAGAGCCACCCUUGCUCUUGGCGCCUAUGAGUCUUUGUCAUGAAGGGGCGUCCUUGCUCUUGGUGCCUAGGUUGCUUUAUGUGGCGCCUGUUUGGACUAUUAGGGCAGAGAUUCUCUUGUGAUAUUCCUUGUGUGUAGAGAUUCCUUGGGCGCUUUCAUUGUGUGUUCUUGUCACUGCAUGCAUUCCCUGUGUGUUCUUGUCACUGCAUGCAUGGUAAGGUUUAUGCAGAUGAAUAGCAUGAUCAACGCAUUCAACGUUUACGCUAUUUAAGUGCAUUUGAAUAACAUAUCAAUGCAUUCAAUUUCAGUAUAGAAAAGAAAGUUAGAAUUAAAAAAAUGUCUUUCUCACAACAUUACAAUAUUAGUGCCCAUAUCGAAGGUGAAAUAUUUGAGCAUCAACUAUUCAAUUUUUGUUUUCGCAACACAGAGGUAACUCGGUUUACAAUAAAUCGACGAUCAAGUUUUUUACAUUUGAAACAAAUAAUAGAAAAGAAAUUGCAGUGCACUCCUGUUGGCCAAAUCAUCUAAAAAAAUCUGGUUUGGUUUGCAGAAAACCAGGUGAAGUUUUAUUAGAAGAAGAUUCGAAGAUGAUGAAGAUGUUCAACAUAUGUUUCUCAGUCACGAACAAUCUGGGUAGAACGAUAUACAGUUGUCUAUAUUACCACAACAACAACAAAUGUCUCAGUUCAUUGAUCAGUCAAGAGUGUUUUGUGAAACUGAUGACGAACAAGCUGAGGUGAAUGUUAUAGAUGACGAAGAGGAAGAAGCCGAGAUCUUGGUUGAUUCAAUGGUGAACGCUGAUGACGAAAAAGAGCCAUUACCAGCUAGUCAUGUAUAUUAUCCACCUUAACACAUGACAAGGUUGAGUUUGGGUUCCGAUGAACCUUCAUCAAAUAUAUGGUACAAUCCUUAUGUGCAAAUGCAAGGAUCUUUGAAACAAGGAGACACAUUUCUCACAAAAGAGGAUUGUGUAAAAGCCAUCAAAAAAUUUCACAUGCAACUAUCAGCUGAUUUCAGAGUUGAUAGAACUAAUGCAUUGAGGUACAAAAUUUAUUGUUUGAAUGAGCACUUCCAUUUCAGGUUGUCAGCUUCGUACCGGAAGAGGAGCGAUUCUUGGGAGAUUGGAUCCAUGGGUCCAGUUCACACAUGCAUGCUGACAAACCUAAUGCAAGAUCAUUGGAAACUAAGUUCUCAGCUAAUAUGCGAUGAAAUAUUGUUUGUCAUUGGAGACAAUCCAUUUUAAAGGUGAGUACAAUAAUCUCACAUAUUAUGGCAGAGUACCAGUACACUCCAUCAUAUAGGAAGACAUGGAUAGUUAGGACUAAGGCUGUUGAAAAAAUGUUUGGAAAUUGGGAGGAGUCUUACAAACAACUACUAAAAUACCUGUUGGCUAUAAAAUAGUAUGCUCCAGAUAAUAUUGUCAAGUUGGAAACGUUGCCUGCAUAAAGAAAAGACGGGAUGUGUGCUAUUGAAAAUGGAAUAUUCCACGGUCUCUUCUGGGCGUAUCAACCAUACAUCAUAGGUUUUUCUUUUUGUAAACCUAUUAUACAAAUUGAUAGUACAUGGUUGUACGGGAAAUACAAAGGAACGUUACUGAUGGCAGUGGCACAAGAUGGCAACAUCAGUAUUUUUCUAAUCGCAUUUGCCCUUGUUAAAGGGGAGACUGCUGAGGGAUGAAGUUUUUUACUUAGAAAUCUCCGAUUGCACGUUGCACCGCAGCCUAACUUAUGUUUGAUCUCCGACAGAUACCCUUCAAUCAUCAGUGCAUAUAAUAACAUUGAUAAUGGCUGACAAGAUCCUCCUUCAACGCAUGUCUUCUGUAUUAGACAUAUUGCUCAGAAUUUUAUGCGGGAAAUCAAAGACAAGACGUUGCAGAAGAAGGUUGUCAACUCAGGUUACGCAUUAUCAAAACCUUCUUUCAAACACUACUGCGAAGAAAUAAGAUUGUUAAACACAGAUGCAAGACGGUGGAUCGAUAGUAUUCCAUUGGAGAAGUGGACUAAGGCAUACGACAACGAUCAAUGUUGGGGCCACAUGACAACAAAUCUUGUGGAAUUAAUGAACUUUGUCUUCAAAGGCAUCUGUAACCUACCUAUAACUGUUUUGGUGCAGGCAACAUAUUUCAGUCUAGGAGCGCUAUUUGAGACCAGACGUUCCAAAUGGAGUUCAGUGUUACAAUCUGGGCAGUUGUUCAGUGAUGCUUCAAUGAAAUUCAUUAGACAUGAAGCUGCCAAAGCAAACACACAUGUGGUCACAGUGUUUGACUGCACUAAAGGUUGGUAUAGUGUUGCCGAGUCCAUGGAUCACAAUGAGGGCAUGCCGAUGGGAUAAUACAGAGUCGAACUAGAUAGAGGUUGGUGCGACUGCGGAAAGUUUCAAGCCUUUCAUACGCCCUGCUCCCAUGUCAUUGUGGCAUAUUCAAAGGUUCGAAGGGAUCGAUCCUACUUGCUAUCUGACGUUUAGAAAGUCACCAUCCUAUCAAAUGUUUAUAAAAUUAGUUUUUCUAUAGUAGCAAAAGAGGAUUACUGGCCAGAAUAUCAAGGGGACAUCGUCUGGCACAAUGAAGUUAUGCGAAGGAAGAAAAAGGAUCGCCCAAACAGCACCCGCAUUCGAAUCGAAAUGGAUACGGCGAACAAAAUGGUUAGAUUAUGUAGUUCAUGCCGUCAACCAGGUCACAAUCGUACUAACUGUCCUAGUGUUGGAACGAGCACAACCAGAUAAAUUUACAUGUACCUCUGUUGCAAUAUAUAAAAACCUAAAUUUGUUUUAUAUUAUAAGUUUGUGAGGAAAAUACCAUUAUAUAAACAAUAACACAAACAAUUAAAACAACUACAAUACAAGAACUAUGCGAUUACAACCAUCAAAAUAAUUUUGAACAUGUAAUGCAUCAUCCUAUGAACGUCUCGGUCAGUCUUAAUAUUCACCCAUUCACGCACUUCUUCAUUUUGGUUGAACGUGGACACAAGCCAUUGGAUUCUUAUAAUCCUUUCACCAUCUCCAAUUUCUCCAUCUAACCAAAUGUUCAACGUCCGAUUAAGACGUUCAAACAAAUCUAUAUUCCAGAGUCGAAUCUUUAUCGGAGACGUAACGAUGGAAAAUAUUAAAUCGACAUUUCUCUUGUGAAUGUAUUCAGACAUGGUUAAAACACAAAAAUUUGAAGGAGAGUGGAGUUGAAUGAAAGAAAAUAUGGUAGCAGGAGAAGAUUUUUUGUGAAAAAUAUUGCAUCCAGGGUGAGGUAUUUAUACAUAGGAGAUAUAAAAUGCAUGCGCCAAGAGGCUUGGCGCUUACAUGUUAAGACAUGCAGGCGCCAUGGGCAUUGGCGCCUCCUCAUGAGGCUUCCAAUGCAGGCGUCAAGGUCUUAGGCGCCUCCUCUUGGUUCAAGACGGAUGCGCAAAUUCAUCUGAUGUAUCUUUUUUUAAAUGUGGUUAUUUUAGAAAUUUUUUUAAAAUUUAUUAUUUUGAAAUUAAUUUUAAAAAUGAUUGGUUAUUUUUUAAAAAAUCUAGUUUUUGGUACGUUAUUUUAAUUAAAAAAUUAGAAACAUUGAAAAGUAUUUGUUAUGAGUAGGUUUCCUAUUCUAAAGCCGACUAUACUUUCUUUUAUAGGUUUUAUUAUUAUUUUUAUAAUCAAAGUGAAUUGUAUUAAAAUAAAGAACAUAUUGGGAUAGCAAUGUAUAUUCGGAGAGCAGUGUAUAUUCAUGAGUAUCAUUAGUAGUUCUCCCCUUAGUAACUUACUAAAUAUGGUAUCUGUAUGACUCUAAAUUUUAACCUAUAUUAUUUUCAUAUCAUUUUAUCAUACAUUAUCUCAUGUAUAGUGAAUUAGCGUUUUGUGUGAAUUUAUUUUUAAAUAAUUAUUAUUUUUAAAAAUAAUAUUAAAAUAAUUUUUUUUGAAAAAUAUAUAAAUAUAACCACUUUUUAGAAAAAAAAAUAAUUCGGAUAAAGUAUGCGUCAUACCAAAUGGUGCAUCGUUUUGAUAACUGAACUAAUGUGUUAUGUUUAGUGGCUCAUGCAUGCAGUUCAAGCCAAUGUAAUUGGCAUAUGCUUUGGGAUGUUGCACUAUAACGUCAUUGCAUAUGGCGCAUGCAUGCAUGCAUAAUGCAUGCGUCACUCCAUGUGUCUACUGCUUUUGCUUUUACCUCUAUAAAUACAUAAUCACCUACCAUUAUUUUUCACACAUCUUCUUACCAUCUUCUUCUAUUUUCUUCAAUUUUCUUCCAUUUAUUCUCAAAAUAUCUUCAUAUAUGUGUCUUUAUAUUCACAAGAGAAAUGUUGAUUUAAUUUAUUCGGCAGUAAAGCCUCCGAUGAAGAUUUAACUAUGGAAUAUAGAUACGUUUGAACAUCUUAAAAGGACUUUGAUACGUUGGUUAGAUGGAGACAUUGCCGAGGAUGAAAAGAUCAGAAGAAUCCAAAGGCUUGAUACCACGUUCAACUAAAAUGGAGAAGUUCGUUUCUGGGUAAAUGUUAAAACUGGCAGAGAUGUUCAUAUGAUAAUGUAUAGUUCUCACAAAUUAUUUUGAUGGUUGUAAUCGCAUAGUUAUGUUGUUUAGUUGUUGUAUUUAUUUGUGAUGUCGUUUAAUUGUUGUAGUUGUUUGCGUUGUUUAAUUAUUGUUUACAUUAUUGUUUAGUUGUUGUUUUCAAGUUAUUGUAACUGAAUGUUAUGAUAUUUAUGAAAUGAAAGUUGUUUUUAAUAUAAAGCAAAAGGGUUACAUUUAAAAUUAUGUUGUUGUGCGUGGUCUAACAUUGAGACAGUUUGUACAAUUAUGUCUGGGAUGCAACAUGAACUACAUAAUCGUACCAUUUUGUUCGUCAUAUCCAUUUCGGUUCGAAUACUGGUUCUUUUUAAGCGGCCCUUUUCUUUCUUCGCAUUAUUUCAUUGUGCCUCAGUAUGUCCUCUUGAUAUGCAUGCCAUAAACAUUGUAUAGGUUUAUGGCUUGAUAUGGUAGUUUUCUUUGAACUAUGAUUGUCGGUGAAGACAAUGAAAUCUUACAUGUUAUUUUCAAUCAAGGUGGAGAUUGUUAGGGUUGGUAGAAAAUAUAUAUGUUGAAGAAGUCACACAUCGCUUAAUUUUGUAAAGGAAAAAAGGAGUCCAAAGCUAUAUAAUGGAUUCAAGUUCUUCAUUAUAAGAUGCAUCAGUCCAAAACACUUUAAGUUUUUAUUUGAAUUUCUUUGUUCUCUUAUACUCUUGUGUUAGAGUGUUGUGAGAUGUAAUUAAGUAUUAAUUUUAAAGAAUAUGAGUAUAUUGGGGUCUGGGCGUGAUUGAGAAUAUAUUAUAUAUCGUAACAAUUAUCACAUAGUUUUAUUCUUUGGGGGUAUUGUCAUACCCCAAUUUUGUCCGGGUAAGGAAAAAUCUUCAACCAGCAUUUACUACCCAAUGUUAAGAGACAUGAAUUUUAUCUUAAGACAUAGGUUCUAUUUUAGGUUUUUUCAGUCCUUUAUGACAUCAAGUCUUUAAUGACACUUUCAUCUGUUAAGAUCCUUAAGAAAAUAUCUGCUGCAAUUGUCUUUUACUGAAGCAUGGGAUGGUAUGUGCAUUUUUGGCUAACAAAGCCCAUUUUGGUUUACCCAUGAGAUCUCUUUGUUUCAAAGGUCCAUUUACAUAAACGUGUCCAUAAUUAAAAGUGUGGUUUGAAUCUUGUUACAUUACUAAUCCAAAAUCCAUUUGACUAUUAGUAAAGUAUUAAGAGUCAUGGAUAUUUUUUAUGAUCACUCAUCAUUAAACCCAUUUGCACAUCUCAAAUACAUAUGCCAAAUCUCUAAACCAUUCAUAAAAAAUCCUUAAACUAAACUUGCAUCUUUUCUAAGUGAGUAUGUUGGUUUAAGAUUAAGAUAUCACAUGCACGAGUAUUUAAUUGGUUUUUAUGAUCAAAGUUUGAAAGUGCAAAUAUUUUUGUGACAUGUUUUAUCUUAGGUUUUUUUGGCAUAUUUUAUUUUUAAUAAUAUUAAUGUGUUAAAGUUAAUCAAAUUGAAAAUCCAUUAAAUUGCAUUGUUGAGCCCAAUCCAUUUUCAGUUUGAAUUAUAGUUUAAAUUUUCUUUUGAUUAGCAUAGCUAAAUUAUUAAGGCAAGGUUUAAAGUAUUUAAUUGCAUGAUUAGAUGCAUAGUCCAAAAUUCAAUUAAAUCCAAAGUUUCUAAUAGUCCAAAGUAGUUACAUAGUUCUAAAAAAAAGGGAAGUUUCAAAUUAAAUUUACAUAUUGAAAAUAACUCCAAAUAAUCCAAAUUUACACAAAAAUCCAAAGGAGCAUUUGAUUAAUUUACAUGUUUCAAAAAUAAUCUAAAAUUCUGAAAAUAAUUGAAUAGAAUCUAAUGGUUUGAAGUAGUCUUCAGAGACUUUUUUCCAAAGCCAAUGGUUUGUAAGCCAGCGCCCAAUUUUAACUUUUCUUGUAGUGCCCCCCAACUCCAAAAGACAGUGCCCCUUUUCAAUCAAUUCAACAUCACUUCACCUGCAAAUGCAAAACAAAAUUAAAAAUUAAAAAAAAAUGCUUAUCAAAAUAAGCACUUAAAACAAACUGAAAAAUAAACCUUAAAAUAAAUAGAUUAUUUGGUUACACAUUGAACCAAAGAAAACGCCAAAAUACAUCCCAAUAUUCAAUCCAAAAACAACCUUAAAUCCAUAAGGUAAUUGUCCCACAAAAUCUGGAAACGGGAUUCAACAAGCAAUCUCAAAAGCAGAAUUCACAUAUAUAAACAAAAAUCAAUCAACAAAAGGAGGACACUGUUCUUGAAAUCCAACAGAACAAAUAAAAUCAAAGUAUUUUUAACCAAGCCAAGAACACGUUCUGAAAUAAUACAAGAAGAAAGCAUCAAUUUUUUUCUUUAAACAUCAAAACAACAAAUACACAUCUGUUUGAGAAUCAAGAAGAAAAUAAUAAAAUAUUUUCUUGUUAAACCAAAAAGUUUCAAAACAGCAGUGACAAUAUUCAAAACAAAAAGAAGAAGGAAAAGAGAAGGAAACGAAGGACUUAUCGUGAAAGAGGGAAGCAUCGCCGGAGGUUGACUUCGAAGAGUAAGUCCAUUCUCGUUCACCUUUCCAUGCCAUCAUCUUCGUUUCUUCGCGUGGGUUAAAACCCCUCUUUCAAUUUCUUCAAAAAACAUUGUUGCAGAGCUUUAAAUCUGGGUUUUUAGAGUUAGGUUUUGGAUGUUUGACUUUCGCUAUUUAGGUUAAACUAGAGUUUGUUGGCCGCACAAGAGAGAGAGAGGGUAUUAGGGUUUAGGUCUUCUUUUGUUUUGGGGUACCGAUCCGAACAUUGGAGAAGUAUUUUGAAGAAAACAAGGUUGGAUUCGGAAAGAGCGGCCAAAAUAAGUUAGGGUUCGUGUUUGGAAGUUUUGGUUUUGAGGUGGUUGGUCGCCGGAAGAGACGGUGGCGCCGCUGCGGUUGGCUGGCCGCCACCGUCUUCUCCGGUCAAGGUUGGCUGUGAGAGGGGCGGUGAUGAAACGUUUAAAUUACAGAGCAACUUGUUGGGAGAGAGGGAAGAGAGAGAGUGAGAACGGAAAAAUGAUCUCUCUCUCUCUGAAAUUUCCUUUUUAUACGUUGGUUAAGUUGAAGGCAUGGGUGCCACGUGGCCCCUUCUGGUGGCGCCACUUGGUUGGUCAACCAGUGGAUCCUCUAUGGAUCCCCCCACCAUAUGGUGGUACAUCCUCGUACACCUCUCCUUGAUCUGUUGACAAAGUCAGAGUAUUCCCAUCGUGUGGCCCAGAUUUUCCUAGAAAGUCUUUGUUAACCAAGCCAUUUAGGGUUUUUGGCAUUUUCGUUUGGGUCAACUCUGGUUGGGCCCAAAGACCUUUUCCCUAUUCAAACCCCCUAUUUUAUUUCCAGCAGCACCUUGAGUUGGGCUUUUCCCUCACUUAGCCCAUCUGCUUUCAUUUUUAAUUUAUUUCACUUAUUUUGUUUUAUUUCUAUACAUAUAAAAAAUACAAUAGACUUUUGUGACUAUUAAAUAAAAAUAAGACAAUGCUUUAGUUUACUUACUUUAUUUCAAAAUUAUAAUUAUAUUAUUAUUAUUAUUAUUAUUAUUAUUAUUAUUAUUAAUUUUUAAUAUUAAAUAUGUAAUUAUAUUAUUAUUAUUAUUAUUAUUAUUAUUAUUAAUUUUUAAUAGUAAAUAUGCAAUUAUAUUGUUAUUAUUAUUAUUAACAUUUAACAAAUAUGCAAUUAUUUGGUUAUAUUCAUUAUUUGUUUUUAAUUACUUAUUAUUUAAUUAAAAUAAUCUAUUAAACAUUUAAUUAGUUAAUUAUAUCAUUACUAAUGUCAUUUAUAAUUUAGAUAAUUGUUUAUUUUGUGGAGUGUAUGUGUAUGAUUAUUCUUUAUUUAUUUAUUUAUACCGAACCUUGAGCGCACACGAAAUGACAUAUUAUAAUUAUGACAAAAUUAUGUCGCUGUCACCGAUUUAAAAUCAUUCGAGCCAAUUUCAAAGAUAAAUCACAUACUUCUCGAUUCAAAGUCGAGCCCAUUUUCAAAACACCUUUGUAAGUCGAUUACUUGUAAAAGUAUCGCCAUCAACCUCACAAGAUAAAUCACAUACUUCUCGAUUCAAAGUCGAGCCCAUUUUCAAAACACCUUUGUAAGUCGAUUACUUGUAAAAGUAUCGCCAUCAACCUCACAUGGCUUACUCUUGGGCCUUCUUACAAUGAGACAUAUUCGGUUUUUAUUAAUCGAUUAGAUGAACUAUUCAAUAAAUAAAUUCAAUUCAUUCACGAAAAUACAAAUUUUAACACCUCGAUCCAACAUUGACUAUUCUUUAUUAAGAAUUAAAAUACUUAAUUACAAUUAAACAUUAUUUCACUUAGAAAUAAAAGAGGUAAUGGUUUUGAGUUUUCAACUCCUUUCCUCGAUUAUUUAAACACGAAGUCUUAUACUCGAUUAAUCGAACGAUCGUCCUUUCUAAUCCACCUAAGCGCAAAUAAACCGAAUUCUUUCACAUUAAGAAAUAAGAAGGGAGAUGACUUUGAGUCUUCAAUUUUUUCUCCUCGACUAUUUGAAUACAAGUUCUCUUCCUUGGUUGGUCAAAUAAUUGUCGUUCCUCUACAAACCUCCAAAUCCCGAUUAAAUCAAAAUAUUUUCACAGUAAGCUAAAUGGAGAGGGAGUUGACUUUGAGUUUUCAACUUCACUCUUCAAUUGGUCGAAUACGAGUUCUCUUACUCGGUCAGUCGAAUAAUUAUCAUUUUUCCGCAAACAUACAACUUAAUCAAAUCAUUUUCUUAACAAACUAUACGUAAAAGGAGAUGGUUUUGAGCUUUCAACUCCUCUUCUCAAAUGCUUGGAUAUGAGUUGUUUUACUCAGUCGUUCAAGUACUUGUCGUUUAUUAUAAAAUAUGUCAAUCUUAUACAACCUUAUCUUCACAAUUAAAGAUGAAAUAAAAAGCGGUCUAGAGUCUUCUAUUCCCUUUCUCGAUUAUUAGGAUACGAGUUGUCUUACUCGAUUAUCCGAGUAUUCGUCAUCCUUCCAAAACACCUUAAUUAUUAUUAGAUUUUUCCUAUAAUUAAAGAUGAAAAAGAAAGUAGUGUAGAAUCUUCUACCCUUUUCCCGACUGUUAGGAUACGAGUUGUCUUACUCAACCAUCCGAGUGAUCAUCACCCAACUGAAAACAUCUCAUCCAAUCAAAAACACCCAACAUAUUAAUUCAACCAAUCACCCCCGUGUGACCAAAACUCUUUUCAAGAGAACACCAUUUAAUCCUUUCUAAUGCGCAUAGCAAACCAAUGCUUAAGCUUUCACCGAGAGUAGACAAACCAACGUUUAGCCUUUAGAACGAGAUCUAAACAGUUGUUCAUUAAAAAACACCAACCAACCGUAGUUCCCCGAACUACGAAUGCUCUGAUUUCCUUAUUACACCAUAAGGAUACGUAGGCAGGAGAUUGAUGUAUCUUCGCGAGCACACUAAUGAAAAACCUCCCCUUUCCCUUUCUAAGGUUCUCAUCCAUUUCCACUUUAAAUAAUUUUAUAACCCAAAGAUAACAAACAAACAUAAAUUAACCCUCGAAACGCACAUUAGAACUAAAAGGUUCCCGUUGAGUACAACGGAUGUAAGGGGUGCUAAUACCUUUCCCUUACGUAAUCCACUCCCAAACCCGAAUAUGGUUGCGACGACCAUUAUUCUAUUUCCUAAAAAGUUUUAUAGAUAUUUUCCUAUUCCUUCAUUGGGAUAAAUAAAGUUCGGUGGCGACUCUGUUCGAACGUAUAUUUUUUCCGCGACCAUCGCGAGGAAUCGCAUUUUUUGAGAUGCGACAAAUGGAGACUCUGCUGGGGAAUAGCUCCAAGCAAAAGAGAGUGAAGCCUAAUCUAGUUCAGUUUCUGUAUUGUGUGUUAACCUUGUUUGUUUAUCUGUUAUUUUUUAUUCUGCCAUUAUUAUUCUAUCAUAAUUAUUAUAUUGUGACUUAUUGACUAUGUCUUAUUUGGGGUUCUCUGGUUGGUGAUACUUUGUGAGAUAGGCUCUCCACCCGAGUCUGAGAAAAACCAUAAGGUUAAGUUGGUGGUCGUGUAGUGGGCGCCCACAAGGAGUCUUCCUUGUUGGGAAGAAACGAAGACCCCGCCUAGAGGAGAUUCUCUUGAGAUACUAUUGCCCGACGAGUCUUCGUCACAACGAUAGUAUUCUCAAAUUGGAUUAAUGACUCUAGGGACCUUUUAGCCCAUUAUAUCUGGUGGUUAUGUAGUAUCUACCUGAAAAGUCCCAGACUUAUUGGGUUAAUACGAAAUCCCCAAUCAGAUGAGAUCCCUUGGGCGUAUUACUACCUUACAGUGGUAUUCCCAACCUCGAUCUAUGACUUUGAGAACCUUAUUAGAACCUUGGACUCGAGAGUUUUGUAGUAUGGUCCCACUAGGAGUCUUCCUCUUUGGGACCAUACAAAGGCCUCACCGAAACGAGACUCUGUUUGGAGAUGUUAUUCGCAGAUGAGUUUUCAUCAUGACAAUAACUUUCCUAAAUAUUGAUUGAUGACUUUGGGAACCUUUUAACUUUAGCAUCCUCCCAAAAGGGUUUUGUUUAGUAACCAAGAAUACCCGCUCUCACGACCUGUAUAUUAACUUACAUGUGACAUGCAUAAUAUCAUUCAUAGCAUAACAUUCAUAUUAUUUUAUUUCCAAGGAAUCUGAGUAUCAUGAGUUGCAGGAAUUCAAGAAACAUGGAAUCAAGCAAAAGAAACAUUUACUCUUUCAAGCUUCAGUUCAAGGAUCCCGAUCUAAAGAGCUUACGUGACUUGGUCUCUCAGAUGCACCCGGUAUACCAAAUCAACUUUGGGAAGAAUUAUGGCAACCUGCCUAGCAUCCUCAAUCAACGAGUAGGACUAUACAACUUUAAUCACUUUGGCCCAAUUUCAUGACCUACCUUUAAGAGCUUCCCAUUCUAAAGACUUUCCAGCUAGCACCAACGUUGGAAGAAUCGAGCGUCUUGUUAGGAUUCCUAUGAAGAACAAGCCACUAUUUGAAGGGAUAGAUGAAUCUUUGCCCCUUGAGGUCAUUGCUAGUGCGCUUCACAUGGAUGAAAAGGAAGCAGAGGCUAACUUAGAGACCAAAGGGAAUACCAACGGAUUUUUAGUAAGUUUUCUUUUGGAAAGAGCUCAUACCCUGUUGAAGGCAGAAAGUUGGGAUGCUUGUUACUCUGCUAUUUCAUUGGCCAUCUAUGGCGUUAUCAUGUUCCCGAAUAUGGAUGGUUUCGUAGACAUGACUGCUAUUUAUGUUUUCCUUACUAGAAACCCAGUAUCCACUUUGUUAGCCGAUGUCUACUAUUAUAUAAGUCAUAGGUAUACUAAGAAGAAGGGAUUGAUUUCUUGUUGUGCUCCUUUAUUGUAUUAGUGGUUUCUAGAACAUCUUCCGAAGACAUGUGCUUGGGUUGAAUAGACAGAUGUUAGUUGGCCUCAGAGAUUGGGAUCACUCCAAUUUGAAGAUCUCUCUUGGUACUCCAAAGAAUACAUCAACAUGGAUAUCAUAUUCAGUUGUAGAGAUUUCCCAAAUCUACCGCUUAUUGGAACUCAAGGAUGUGUGAAUGCUAACCCAGUUCUAUCACUCAGACAACUCGGCUACCCAAUGGAAGGCCCUCUAGAGGCAAAUUCUUUGGAAGCUUUCUUGUUACUUGACUUUGGGGCUGAGAAUCCUAGCUUAUUCCAGCGAAUCAAAGAAGCUUGGAGAAAUGUCAAUCGAAGAGGGAAAGCUGAGUUAAGGAGAGCAAAUGGGAUUAUAAAAGAACCAUAUUUUCAGUGGGUAAAGGAAAGGGUGCAGAUGAUUAAAAUGCCAUUUGUCAUUCGGACACCUAUACCUCUUCCUGAACCUAAGCUCACCCAUGUCCCUAUUGAAGAAAUGGAAGAACUCAAGACCACCAUGGCAAAGCUAGGAAAAGAGAAUGAAGAGUUGCAGAUAAAACUACAACAAACCAUCAAUGAGAAAAACAAUAUGAAGUGGGAGCUCGAGAGAAAAGAGGCACAGCUUAAAGCCUAUGUGGAAAAGUUUAACAAGGAGGAGUAUAAGAGGAAGAAGAUCAAGGUGGGAUUAGAACAAGCUGAUCAUUGUUUAGAUACCCUUAAAGGUCAACUAUGACAAGCUCAGAAAGAAUUUCAAGACAAUGAGCGUUGGUGGCAUCUAGCCACAAAGGAAAACAAGACGAUAAGGGAUACACUUGGGGCUCAGAUAAAAGAACUCACCAAUUCUAUUCGUCAUGCAAAAGCUGAAGUAGAUCAGGAGCUCCGACUCAAGAAUAUAGCCACUGAAGCUUCUAGGGUGUCACCCAUGAUAUGGGAGGAGAAGUGUCGAGAAGUAAGAGAUGCAAGGGAAUCUGUCAGCUAUUGGAAGAACCAGCUAGAGUCAUUACGCCAAGACAACUCCAUAUGGUUGAAAGAGUGAGACUAUGUGAUUGAAGAUUAUGAAUCCUUUAAGAAGACCAUAGACUUCUUACAAGGAGAUAGGGAUAAGUUUCAUGCGAAACUUGAUGGGCUAGUAGGGUUUUGUAAUUGGGCGGCUAAAGAAUUGCCAUGGAAGUUGAGAGACGCAGUCGAAGAGUUGAAAGAAGAUAGCACUCCUCCAGCCAUAAUCAGUUUCAUUCUGCUCUGUAAAGGGUUGCUGAAGAGAUUCAAUGAGGAACUAUAAGAGCUUCAGGCCAGAAGGCCAGCUGUUUAAUUUGCUUAUGUCUUGUAUUUUGUUCCUUUAACAAAUGUACUUUUGAACUAUGACCUUCUUUGAACCCCUACGUUAUGUACUUAAAUGAAUGACGUUUAAAAAUUACUUCAUUAUUGUUAUUCUAAGUAUUUCUUGUUUCUUCGAAUUACUAACAACUAAUGAAACUCGAAUGAUUCCCUGAAAAUAAAAUAUGCAUAACAUUCGCAUCUUCAUUAUACGUCAAGCUUCAUAAAAAUUCCAAAAAACUUACCCAAACUUUUUACCCUUUAUCCAGCCACACUGACUAAUCAACAUCGAUACAAGACGCGAAGCAAAUACAAGAUGACAUUAGAGCAAGUUGAGGCCAAUCAGGUUACCAUGAGGACAGACAUCAAUACAAUCCAGGAGAAGAUGGAUCAGUUGUUGGAGACAAUGCCCACGAUCGCUCAGAGAGAGAGGAGUGAGGAGGAAGAAGCUAGGGAAAAAAGAAAUGAUAGAACGCCAGGUCUGAAUCCCCAAGACGAAGGUUACAUCCCCACCAAGAAGAGAUUGGUUCAGAUGCCGGUAGGAGGAAAAGGAGAUGGAGACCGUGCAAAACCUUCUGAUACGUCUACUCAUCAUGGAUCCUAAAUUGGAGAUGACUAGUAUGAUGCAUUCUAUAUGUCUGAUCAACCAAAACCUAAGAUACUUCUAGAAACUGUUGUAGAUAGGCUUCGUGCCCUGGAAAAGAAAAUCAAAGCCAUAGAAGGAAACAAUAUCUUCAGUGCUUCUGCCAUGAACAUGCGUUUGGUAUCAAAUUUAGUCAUCCCGACUAAAUUUAAAACUCCUGAUUUCGAGAAAUAUAAAGGACAGACUUGUCCAAGAAGUCACCUGGUAAUGUACUUCAGAAAAAUGGUUGCUCAUACCGAAAACGAAAAACUACUUGUACACUAUUUCCAAGACAGUCUGAGUGGAGCAUCUCUGAGAUGGUACAUGAGCUUAGGUGAAACAAACGCCAUAUCCAGAAACUAUAAAGGAAAGCAACAAGCUUCAUAUGGUCAAGUCGCCGCCGUGGUGCCUAUACCCUAUCAACAACCAAUGCAGCAACAACAAAUGUAUCAACCACAACAUCAACAACAUCAUCAUCAACAAAAUACAGCACCACCAAGACAAUUCAAGCCAAGACCUUCAAGAAGGCAACUUGAUCCCCUACUAGUACCUUAUAGUCACAUAUUCCCAUAUCUACAAAAGGAGGGCCUUCUAACAUUGAGGGAGUUAAAACCAGCUGUUUUUCCAUAUCCACCUGAAUACGACGCUAACGCCCAUUGUGAGUUUCACAUGGGAGCACCUGGUCAUACCUUGGAGAAUUUCUUUGCAUUUCAAAAUCGGGUACAAGACUUAAUCGAAGCGAAAGCUGUCUCAUUCACUCCAAGACGCCCGAACGUGAACACCAACCCUAUGCCAACGCAUAAGGACGCUUCCGUCAGUGUCAUUGAGGAGAGUGAUCAAGGCAAAUUGAUCCGUAAGGUUGAAGAGAUUCAUACCCCUAUCACCAUGAUAGGAGCACAAUGGCUGAAGAGUGGUUUAAUCCCGGAGGAGCUAGUUGAGGAAGAGAACAAUAAGGAGUUGAGAAGUUUUAUACAAUAAAUACUAGAUCAAGGCGAGUUACAAAUAAAUUGUCAUGUCAAGAGCAAGCACCAGGAAGAGAUAGUCGUGGUGGACAUCCCCUAUGAUGAGGAUAGAGUAGAAAUACCCAUAAGCCCGUUGGUGAUAGAGUUCCCAGCACCAUUCAAAUAGAAAAAUGAGAAGGCAGUCCCAUGGAUAUAUCAUCCCAAAGCUUUUACGCAGGGGCAGGAAGAUCAACCUUUGAUAAUCAACGAACCAAAUAUCACUUCAAUUGUGGGGCCAACAGGAAUGACGCGUAGUGGCCGAGUGUUCGCAUCAAGAACUACUGAUACCUCUGAAAGAGCUAAAGGGAAGGAGGCUACUGUCCAGAUCCUCAUCCCUAAUCAAGGAAUGCAAGACAUGCACCUGUCUCCUAAAGCUGUUGUCAUUCGUGAGGAGGCUGAGGAGUUUUUGAGAAUAAUCAAGAAGAGCGAUUAUAAGGUGGUGGACCAGCUAAACCAAACACCUUCCAAAAUUUCCAUGUUAUCUCUACUGCUCAACUCAGAAGCAUACAGGAAUUCGCUGCUGAAGGUAUUGAGCGCCGCUCAUAUCACGAAGGAUAUAACAAUAAAACAGUUUGAUGAUGUGAUAGCUUGUGUGACCACUGGGAAUUUCUUGGGUUUUAAUGAUGAUGAGCUACCAAUCGAGGGAAAGAACCAUAACAAGGCCCUCCAUAUCUCCUUGAAAUGCAUAGAUACUAUACUGUCAAGAGUGUUAGUAGACACAGGUUCCUCACUGAAUGUCAUGCCGAAGACAACUUUGAUAAAGCUGCCAAUGGAAGGGAUAAGUAUGAAACCUAGUACCCUAAUCGUAAAAGCAUUUGAUGGCUCAAGGCGAGCAGUGAUAGGAGAAGUUGACUUACCAAAAACCUAGUACCCUAAUCGUAAAAGCAUUUGAUGGCUCAAGGCGAGCAGUGAUAGGAGAAGUUGACUUACCAACCAAGAUAGGUCCAACUAUUUUCAAUAUCACAUUCCAGGUCAUGGACAUACAUCCGGGUUACAGUUGCCUACUUGGGAGACCCUGGAUUCACUCCACAGGUGCUGUCACCUCUACUCUGCAUCAAAAGCUGAAAUUCAUUAUAAAUGUCAAGAUGAUUGUGAUUGGAGGAGUGGAAGACAUCUUGGUUAGUCACUUGACAUCUUUCCGAUAUAUUGAGGUAGAUGGUGAAAUCACUGAAACACCAUUCCAAUCCUUGGAAGUGGUAAACAUGAUGGCCGUCCAACGGACCUUGGAGGUCCCGAAAUCAGGACCAUCCAUGGCCUUGUGGCAAGGAGCUAAAGCCGUUAUGGAAAGUAAAGAUGCUCAAGACUGGGGCAAAGUGGUGGAAGUGAAAGAGAAACGAGACAAGUUUGGCCUGGGGUAUGACCCAUCAUCACACAAAGCCAGUAACCAACAUGACAAAGAACAAAUUCCUUCUGUGGAGAAAAUGUUCACUAGCACUGGCCACAUCUUUGGCAAGCAAGUGGCAAUGAUCAGUGAAGAAGACCGCAAGGAAGGGGUGUCCAGCUGGAUGCGUCAAGCCACACCUAAUGAAGAACUAGCAAACUGGAAAGCUGUGGAAGUUCCCCAAAUAUUUCAAAAGAAAUUUUAUCAUUUUAGAUAAAACCCUGUGCUCUGCCCAAGGCAUAGUGGCAUGUUGUAGGGCCUCCCUUAUCUUUUUCAAGAGUUUUUAUCAUUAAUGAAAUGACGUUUUGCAUUCAAAUUUUCGUUUCUUUUUCUUUCGUUUUGAUCUAUUUACAAAAAUGGCAAUCAAUUUUUAUGCACACACUUUCUAAAUAAACUGCAUAAAUCAUAACAUGCAGAAACACCACCGAGAUUAUUGAUAACAACACUGCUACGGUCCAAUAUAACUUUGAUUGUCCAAUCUACCAAGCUGAAGACGAAGUGGGGGAAGAUUGCGAGCUCCCUAAAGAGUUGGCCAGAUUACUCAGACAAGAAGAAAAGGUCAUUCAACCACACUAGGAAGACGUUGAAGUUAUCAAUCUGGGAACAGAAGAAGAUAAGAGAGAAGUAAGGGUAGGCGCCGCACUUCAAGAUACAGUGAAGACAAGAUUGAUAAAUCUCCUCCACGAAUAUGACGACGUGUUCGCUUGGUCAUACCAAGACAUGCCCGGAUUAGACACUGAUAUCGUGACCCACAAGCUUCCCCUUAAAGAAGAAUGCCCUGCUGUCAAACAAAAGCUAAGAAGAACUCGACCUGAUAUGACUCUCAAGAUCAGAGAAGAGGUGAGAAAGCAGUUUGACGCUGGUUUUCUGGAAGUCGCAAAGUGCCCAUAAUGGGUUGCUAACAUUGUACCAGUACCGAAGAAAGAAUGAAAAGUCCGCAUGUGCGUAGACUAUCGAGACUUGAACAGAGCCAGUCCCAAAGAUGAUUUCCCAUUACCUCACAUUGAUGUAUUGCUGGAUAACACAACUCAGUUCUCUGUGUUUUACUUUAUGGAUGAUUUCUCUGGAUACAACCAAAUUAAAAUGGAUCCUGAAGACAUGGAAAAUACCACGUUCAUUAACCCUUGGGGUACCUUUUGUUACAAAGUAAUGCCUUUCGGAUUAAAGAACAUUGGGGCAACAUAUAAACGUACCAUGGUGACUCUCUUUCACGACAUGAUUCAUGAAGAGAUUGAGGUGUAUGUCGAUGACAUGAUUGCCAAAUCCCAGACAGAAGAAAAGCACAUCACUAACCUGGGGAAACUAUUUGCUCGUUUGAGGAAGUUUAGGUUGAGGCUUAAUCCUAACAAAUGCACAUUUGGGGUUCGAUCUGGGAAGCUUUUAGGCUUUAUUGUAAGCCAAAAAGGAAUUGAAGUAGAUCCUGACAAGGUUCGAGCCAUUCAAAACAUGCUUGCACCGAGGACUAAAAAGAAGGUUCGUGGUUUCUUGGGGAGACUAAAUUACAUCGCCAGGUUUAUCUCUCACCUUAUGAAACAUGUAAACCAAUAUUCAAGCUCCUGAGGAAAAAUCAAGGCGUGGAGUGGAACGAUGACUGCCAAAUAGCCUUCGAUAAAAUCAAAGAAUACUUGCAAGAGCCACCGAUUCUGAUGCCCCCUGCAGAAGGGAGACCUCUCAUCAUGUAUCUAACUGUGCUCGACGAGUCCAUGGGUUGUGUAUUGGGACAACAAGAUGAGACUGGUAGAAAAAAGUAUGCCAUCUAUUAUCUAAGCAAGAAAUUUAAUGAUUGUGAGACCAGAUAUUCAUUACUUGAGAAGACUUGUUAUGCACUCGCAUGGGCCGCUAAGCGUCUCAGGCAGUACAUGCUAACUCACACGACUUGGUUGGUAUCUAAAAUGGAUCCCAUCAAGUACAUAUUCGAGAAACGAACUCUCACUGGUAGAAUUGCCUGAUGGCAGAUGUUGUUGUCAGAAUUCGAUAUCCAAUAUGUUGCGCAAAAGGCGAUCAAAGGGAGCAUAUUAGUAGACCAUCUUGCUCACCAACCGCUGGAGGAUUACCAAUCUCUGAAAUUUGACUUCCCAGAUGAGAACAUCAUGGCUGUUAAGGACGUUGAAGACUCCUAACUAGAGAAAAGUCUAGAACCAAGAGCAGGUUGGACACUCAUGUUUGAUGGCGCCUCAAAUGCAAUAGGCCAUGGAAUUGGGGCAGUGCUGAUGUCUCCCAAGAAUUUCCAUCUACCACUCACCGCAAAGCUUUGUUUUCCUGCACAAAUAACAUGGUCGAGUACGAAGCUUGCAUAUUAGGGUUGGAAGAAGCUAUUGAGUUGAAGAUCAAGAUACUAGAAGUAUUCGGGGACUCUGCUCUAGUCAUACAUCAGAUCAGAGGAGAUUGGGAAACAAGACAUGUUAACCUAAUUCCAUACCGGGAUUACGUGUUGAAGUUACUCCCAAAGUUCGACGAAAUCACUUUCUCUCAUAUUCCUCGAUAAGAGAAUCAUAUGGCAGAUGCCUUAGCAACUCUGGCUUCCAUGUACAAAUUGAUAUGGCCCAACCAUCAGCCUCAUAUUGAAAUUAGGCGUUUUGAUGAACCUGCUCAUUGCCUAACGACAGCGGAAGAGCCAGAUGGUAAACCCUGGUUCUUUGAUAUCAAACAGUAUCUGGAGAAGCGGGAAUAUCCGGCAAAGGCUUCCAGCCUUGACAAAAGGACCCUCCGGAGGUUGGCAUCAAAAUGCCUCUUGAAUGGAGAAGUAUUAUACAAGCAAAACUAUGACAUGGUUUUGUUGAGGUGUGUGGACAAAAAUGAAGCAGAUCAGCUUAUGAGGGACAUACACGAAGGGUCUUUCGGUACGCACGCCAAUGGGCAUGCCAUGGCAAAGAAAAUCCUAAGGGCAGGUUACUACUGGUUGACAAUGGAAGCCGACUGUUAUCAUUACACCAGAGCAUGCCACAAAUGCCAAAUCUAUGCUGACAAGAUACAUGUACCGCCUACCCCGCUGAAUGUCAUAGCAUCUCCUUGGCCUUUCUCUAUGUGGGACAUCGACAUGAUUGGAAUGAUAGAGCCCAAAGCAUCAAAUGGACACAGAUUUAUCUUGGUGGCCAUAGAUUACUUUAACAAAUGGGUGGAAGUCGCGUCUUAUGCGAAUGUCACAAAGCACGUAGUCGCCUGUUUCUUGAAAAAUAACAUCAUAUGUCGACAUGGGAUUCCCAACAAAAUCAUCACUGAUAAUGGGUCCAAUCUCAACAACAAGACCAUGGAUGAGUUAUGCGCAACAUUCAAGAUCGAGCACCACAACUCAUCGCCCUAUCGACCUAAGAUGAAUGGAGCUGUUGAAGCUGCAAAUAAAAAUAUCAAUAAAAUCAUCCAAAAGAUGGUUGUUACGUACAAGGAUUGACAUGAGAUGUUGCCUUUUGCAUUACAUGGUUAUCGCACAUCGGUACGAACUUCAACAGGGGAAACCCCUUAUUCCCUGGUAUACGGUAUGGAAGCAGUUCUCCCUAUAGAAAUAGAGAUUCCCUCGAUGAGAGUCUUGAUGGAGGCUAAGCUAGACGAGGCAGAAUGAGUUCAAUCAAGGUACGACGAGCUUAACCUUAUUGAGGAGAAACGCUUGAAAGUGUUAGGUCACGGUCAACUCUACCAAAGACGUCUUAAGAAGGCAUUCGGCAAGAAAGUUCGUCCCAGGGUGUUUCAAGAGGGAGAUUUAGUGCUGAAGAAAAUAUUGCCUAUUCACAAAGACUCCAGAGGGAAAUGGACACCAAAUUAUGAAGGUCUAUUUAUGGUGGUUAGAGCCUUUUCCGGAGGCGCUCUAAUUCUAGCAACUAUGGACGGUGAUGAGUUUCCGCUUCCCACCAAUACUGAUGCUGUUAAAAAGUACUUCGCCUAAAAAAGUGGAAUAAUAAAAGCCGCUAAAUCGAAAACCCAAAAGGGCGACACAGGAAAAAAUUGGUAUCCCGGUGGGUCAAAAACCCGAAAGGGCGAUCUAGGCAAAAGUUAGGGAUUAAUUCCAAGGCAAAAAGUUGUACUUACAGACAUUGGGCGUAUCCCCGAAGACAAAGAAUCAUUCUACCUUACUUUUCACAAGCAAAGUGCUCGAACUAUCAAAGACAUAAAGAUCAUAGCAGUGUCGAAACUCAAUAAGAACUCAAUUUUCAUUGCCAUUUUGCUUUUAUGCACAACAAUUACCUCAUUAAGGAAUUGCGUCUUUAUGUACAAUCACCCAUUUAAGGGUCAAAUCAAUAAAAGAGAAUUUUUCUCAACAAAAUGUGCCAGAAUCAUUUUUGUAUUUUAUCUGUCUGUUUGCAAAGCACCUUUUAUUUUUUAUAAACAUCACUUUUAAAAACUAUUAGAGAAAAUAAAACACAUGUUUGAAUAAAUUGGUAAAAUUGCUUUUGAAAUAGUAAGCGGACGAAUCCUUUAGUCCCCAAGAUUUAUUCUUGUUUUUCAUAAAGGUGUAGGACUGAUUGUAAAUGGUUAUGUUCCUUUCAACUACUAAUUCAUACCUCUCAUAAAUGUACUCAGGGUAUAGCCAGACUGGGGCAAGGCUCCAUCACAUUUCCAACAUAAGCAUUGAUAAAUCAUGGAUGAAGCAUCGCGUGUCGAGAAGUCUGAACCUUUCAGUAACUUGGAGCAACCCAAAUAUAUUCCCAAAACCACCUAGUAGGGGCAUUAAAACUUGAUCUCCAUUAAUCACCCCAAUAACAAAAGUCCACACUAUUGGCAUCAUACCUCAAAGUAAAAUGUCUUAACCGGGGCAUAUCCAAUUACCCAUUUGCAUUCUAACAUGCAUCAUAUAAAUCAUUCAUAAAUGGUUUUUCCUACCAAACAGAAAAAUUACAGAAACACGGUCAUAUCAAUCAUCAACAUACUCAUGCAUAUCCCUCCCGUAAAGUUAGAAGGUCAACAAAUAAAAAAAUCAUUCACAUUCCUACAUGCACAGCCAAAUAUCCCCAGCAAUUGCAUACCUGCAUGCAUCUCAUGCAUCAUCCCAUGGAUAGAAUUCCCACCUAAAGUGGGACAUCAUACAAAAAAAUCAAAAGUAAAAUAUCAGGAUCCAGGGUCAUUCAUGUGUAUCUUGGACAUUGCUCAUUUCCAAAUGAGGUAAUUACCCUGCAUAUGCUCGUAGGAUCAUUUUCUCAGCAAAUCAUUUUUUAACUUUAUAAUUAAAAAUGAUAUUCCCAACAUUUUUUUUUUACAAUCAUUUCUCCCCAAGCAGAGGUUACCCUAAAAAGUAUCUUAUGAGUUUUUUCCCCUGCAGAGCAUUUCUAGUAAAUCUCCCUCAAAAGGAGCCUUUUCAAAAAAUUCCCCCAACAGACGAAUAUUUGAGAUACCGCUUCAUUUAUCUGAAGAAUCUCAUUUGUCUGUUUGAGAUAUUGCUCUAAUAUCCUCGGAGAGUCUUAGAUUCAAUUAAGGUAUUUUUCCCUUGCUGGAAUAUCUUAAUUCUAUCAUAUAAGAUGCUGUUUCGACCCGAUACAGAGAAUCUCAUUUUUACUGUUUGAGAAGGUAUUUUUCCCUUGCUGGAAUAUCUUAAUUCUAUCAUAUAAGAUGCUGUUUCGACCCGAUACAGAGAAUCUCAUUUUUACUGUUUGAGACGCUGCUUCAUCAAUAUGAAGAGUCUCAUUUCAGAUUUUUCAAGAGAUAUUGCUUUAAUAUCCUUGGAGAGUCUUAGAUUCAAUUAAGGUACUUUUCCCUUGCUGGAAUAUCUUAAUUCUAUCAUAUAAAAUGUUGUUACGACCCAAUAUAGAGAAUCUCAUUUUUACUGUUUGAGAUGCUGCUUCAUCAAUAUGAAGAGUCUCAUUUCAUAUUUUUCUAGAGAUAAUACUCUAGUAUCUUCGGAGAGUCUUAGAUUCAAUUAAGGUACUUUUCCCUUGCGGGAAUAUCUUAAUUCUAUCAUAUAAGAUGUUGUUUCGACCCGAUACAGAGAAUCUCACUUUUACUGUUUGAGAUGCUGCUUCAUCAAUAUGAAGAGUCUCAUUUCAGAUUCUUUUAGAGAUACUGCUCUAAUAUCCUCGGAGAGUCUUAGAUUCAAUUAAGGUAUUUUUCCCUUAUUGGAACACCUUAAUUCUAUCAUAUAAGAUGUUGUUUCGACCUGAUAUAGAGAAUCUCACUUUUACUGUUUGAGAUGCUGCUUCAUCAAUAUGAAGAGUCUCAUUUCAGAUUCUUUUAGAGAUACUGCUCUAAUAUCCUUGGAGAGUCUUAGAUUCAAUUAAGGUAUUUUUCCCUUACUGGAACACCUUAAUUCUAUCAUAUAAGAUGUUGUUCCGACCUGAUACAGAGAAUCUCACUUUUACUAUUUGAGAUGCUGCUUCAUCAAUAUGAAGAGUCUCAUUUUAGAUUCUUUUGAGAUACUGCUCUUAUAUCCUCGAAGAAUCUUAGAUUCAAUUGAGGUAUUUUUCCCUUGUUGGAAUAUCUUAAUUCCAUCAUAUAAGAUGCUACUUCGACCCGAUACAGAGAAUAUCAUUGUUACUAUUUGAGAUGCUGCUUCAUCAAAAUGAAGAGUCUCACGCCAGAUUUCCUUUAUAUUACUCUAGAAUCCUGGAAAGCCUUGAGAUUUAGCUAGGGAUGCCAUUCCAUAUAUCUCGACUGAGAUGUCCAAGAUACUGUUCUGACGACUCACAGAAAGUCUUGACUGUUCCAUUUUACUGUAGGAUAAUGUCUUUUGCCAUUUCUCACCGUAUUUUUUCCUAUAUUUUCUUCCUUGCAUUUCCUAGGACAAAAUUUGGGUCUUCUUGUAUUUAAUUAUCUCCCACCGUGAAUGCAUGAAGACUGCUGUCAUUCUUACUUUCCGGUUUGAGGUAAUUAAAUAGGGCCAGCUGUCAUACCCCAAUUUUGUCCGGGUAAGGAAAAAUCUUCAACCAGCAUUUACUACCCAAUGUUAAGAGACAUGAAUUUUAUAUUAAUACAUAGGUUCUAUUUUAAGUUUUUUCAGUCCUUGGUGACAUCAAGUCUUUAAUGACACUUUCAUCUGUUAAGAUCCUUAAGAAAAUAUCUGCUGCAAUUGUCUUUUACUGAAGCAUGGGAUGGUAUGUGCAUUUUUGGCUAACAAAGUCCAUUUUGGUUUACCCAUGAGAUCUCUUUGUUUCAAAGGCUCAUUUACAUAAACGUGUCUAUAAUUAAAAGUGUGGUUUGAAUCUUGUUACAUUACUAAUCCAAAAUCCAUUUUAUUAUUAGUAAAGUAUUAAGAGUCAUGGAUAUUUUUUAUGAUCACUCAUCAUUAAACCCAUUUCCACAUCUCAAAUACAUAUGCCAAAUCUCUAAAUCAUUCAUAAAAAAAUCCUUAAACUAAACUUGCAUCUUUUCUAAGUGAGUAUGUUGGUUUAGGAUUAAGAUAUCACAUGCACGAGUAUUUAAUUGGUUUUUUAUGAUCAAAGUUUGAAAGUGCAAAUAUUUUUGUGACAUGUUUUAUCUUAGGUUUUUUUUUGGCACAUUUUAUUUUUGAUAAUAUUAAUGUGUUAAAGUUAAUCAAAUUGAAAAUCCAUUAAAUUGCAUUGUUGAGCCCAAUCCAUUUUCAGUUUGAAUUAUAGUUUAAAUUUUCUUUUGAUUAACACAGCUAAAUUAUUAAGGCAAGGUUUAAAGUAUUUAAUUUCAUGAUUAGAUGCAUAAUCCAAAAUUCAAUUAAAUCCAAAGUUUAUAAUAGUACAAAGUAGUUACAUAGUUCUCCAAAAAAAAAAGGGAAGUUUCAAAUUUAAUUUCAAAUUAAAUUUACAUAUUGAAAACAACUCCAAAUAAUCCAAAUUUACACAAAAAUCCAAAGGAGCAUUUGAUUAAUUUACAUGUUACAAAAAUAAUCUAAAAUUCUGAAAAUAAUUGAAUAGAAUCUAAUGGUUUGAAGUAGUCUUUGGAGACUUUUUUCCAAAGCCAGUGGUUUGUAAGCCAGCGCCCAAUUUUAAUUUUUCUUGUAGUGCCCCCCAACUCCAAAAGCCAGCGCCCCUUUUCAAUCAAUUCAACAUCACUUUACCUGCAAAUGCAAAACAAAAUUAAAAAUUAAAAAAAAUGCUUAUCAAAAUAAGCACUUAAAACAAACUGGAAAAUAAACCAUAAAAUAAACAGAUUAUUUGGUUUCACAUUGAACCAAAGAAAACGCCAAAAUACAUCCCAAUAUUCAAUCCAAAAACAACCUUAAAUCCAAAAGGUAAUUGUCCCACAAAAUCUGGAAACGGGAUUCAACAAGCAAUCUCAAAAGCAGAAUUCACAUAUAUAAACAAAAAUCAAUCAACAAAAGGAGGACACUGUUCUUGAAAUCCAACAGAACAAAUCAAAGUAUUUUUAACCAAGCCAAGAACACGUUCUGAAAUAAUACAAGAAGAAAGCAUCAAUUUUUUUCUUUAAACAUCAAAACAACAAAUACACAUCUGUUUGAGAAUCAAGAAGAAAAUAAUCAAAUAUUUUCUUGUUAAACCAAAAAGUUUCAAAACAGCGGUAACAAUAUUCAAAACAAAAAGAAGAAGGAAAAGAGAAGGAAACGAAGGAUUAUCGUGAAAGAGGGAAGCAUCGCCGGAGGUUGACUUCGAAGAGUAAGUCCAUUCUCGUUCACCUUUCCAUGCCAUCAUCUUCAUUUCUUCGCGUGGGUUAAAACCCCUCUUUCAAUUUCUUCAAAAAAACUUUGCUGCAGAGCUUUAAAUCUGGGUUUUUAGGGUUAGGUUUUGGAUGUUUGACUUUCGCUAUUUAGGUUAAACCAAAGUUUGUUGGCCGCGAGAGAGAGAGAGGGGGUAUUAGGGUUUAAGUCUUCUUUUCUUUUGGGGUGCCAAUCCGAAUAUUGGAGAAGGAUUUUGAAGAAAACAAGGUUGGAUUCGGAAAAAGCGGCCAAAAUAAGUUAGGGUUCGUGUUUGGAAGUUUUGGUUUUGAGGUGGUUGGUCGCCGGAGGAGACGGCGGCGCCGCCGCGGUUGACCGACCGCCACCGUCUUCUCCGGUCAAGGUUGUCCGUGAGAGGGGCGGUGAUGAAACGUUUAAGUUGCAGAGCAACUUGUUGGGCGAGAGGGAAGAGAGAGAGUGAGAAUGGAAAAAUGAUCUCUCUGUCUGAAAUUUCCUUUUUAUAUGUUGGUUAAGUUGAAGGCAUGGGCGCCAUGUGGCCCUUUCUGGUGGCGCCACUUGGUUGGUCAACCAGGGGAUCCUGUGAGGAUCCCCCAUCAUAUGGUGGUACACCCUCAUACACCUCUCCUUGAUUUGUUGACCAAGUCAGAGUAUUCCCAUCGUGUGGCCCAGAUUUUCCUAGAAAGUCUUUGGUUGACCGAGCCAUUUAGGGUUUUUUGCAUUUUCGUUUGGGCCAACUCUGGUUGGGCCCAAAGACCUUUUCCUUAUUCAAACCCCCUAUUCUAUUUCCAGCAGCACCUUGAGUUGGGUUUUUCCCUCAGUUGGCCCAUUUGCUUUCAUUUUUAAUUUAUUUCACUUAUUUUGUUUUAUUUCUAUACAUAUAAAAAAUACAAUAGACUUUUGUGGCUAUUAAAUAAAAAUAAGACAAUGCUUUAGUUUACUUACUUUAUUUCAAAAUUAUAAUUAUACUAUUAUUAUUAUUAUUAUUAUUAUUAUUAUUAUUAUUAUUAAUUAUUAAUAGUAAAUAUGCAAUUAUAUUGUUAUUAUUAUUAUUAUUAAUAUUUAAUAAAUAUGCAAUUAUUUGGUUAUAUUCAUUUUUUUAAUUACUUAUUAUUUAAUUAAAAUAAUCUAUUAAACAUUUAAUUAGUUAAUUAUAUCAUUACUAAUGUCAUUUAUAAUUUACAUAAUUGUUUAUUUUGUGGAGUGUAUCUGUAUGAUUAUUCUUUAUUUAUUUAUUUAUAUCGAACCUUGAGCGCACACGAAAUGACAUAUUAUAAUUAUGACAAAAUCAUGUUGCUGUCACCGAUUUAAAAUCAUUCGAGCCAAUUUCAAAGAUAAAUCACAUACUUCUCGAUUCAAAGUCGAGCCCAUUUUCAAAACACCUUUGUAAGUCGAUUACUUGUAAAAGUAUUGCCAUCAACCUCACAUGGCUUACUCUUGGGCCUUCUUACAAUGAGACCUAUUCGGUUUUUAUUAAUCGAUUAGAUGAACUAUUCAAUAAAUAAAUUCAAUUCAUUCACGAAAAUACAAAUUUUAACACCUCGAUCCAACAUCGAGUAUUCUUUAUUAAGAAUUAAAAUACUUAAUCACAAUUAAACAUUAUUUCACUUAAAAAUAAAAGAGGUAAUGGUUUUGAGUUUUCGACUACUUUCCUCGAUUAUUUAAACACGAACUCUUAUACUCGAUUAAUCGAACGACCGUCAUUUCUAAUCCACCUAAGCGCAAAUAAACUGAAUUCUUUCACAUUAAAAAAUAAGAAGGGAGAUGACUUUGAGUUUUCAAUUUUUUCUCCUCGACUAUUUGAAUACAAGUUCUCUUCCUUGGUUGGUCAAAUAAUUGUCGUUCCUCUACAAACCUCCAAAUCCCGAUUAAAUCAAAAUAUUUUCACAGUAAGCUAAAUGAAGAGGGAGUUGACUUUGAGUUUUCAACUUCACUCCUCAAUUGGUCGAAUACGAGUUCUCUUACUCGGUCAGUCGAACAAUUAUCAUUUUUCCGCAAACAUACAACUUAAUCAAAUCAUUUUCUUAACAAACUAUACGAAAAAGGAGAUGGUUUUGAGCUUUCAACUCCUCUUUUCAAAUGCUUGGAUAUGAGUUGUUUUACUCAUUCGUUCAAGUACUUGUCGUUUAUUAUAAAAUACGUCAAUCUUAUACAACCUUAUCUUCACAAUUAAAGAUAAAACAGAAAGCGGUCUAGAGUCUUCUAUUCCCUUUCUCGAUUAUUAGGAUACAAGUUGUCUUACUCGAUUAUCCGAGUAUUCGUCAUCCUUCCAAAACACCUUAAAUAUUAUUAGAUCUUUCCUAUAAUUAAAGAUGAAAAAGAAAGUGGUCUAGAGUCUUCUACCCCUUUCCCGACUGUUAGGAUACGAAUUGUCUUACUUGACCAUCCGAGUGAUCGUCACCCAACCGAAAACAUCUUAACCAAUCAAAAACACCCAACAUAUUAAUUCAACCAAUCACCCCCGUGUGACCAAAACUCUUUUCAAGAGAACACCAUUUAAUCCUUUCUAAUGCGCAUAACAAACCAACGCUUAAGCCUCCGCUGAGAGUAGACAAGCCAACGUCUAGCCUUUAGAUCGAGAUCUAAACAGUUGUUCAUUAAAAAACACCAACCAAGUUCCUCGAACUACGAAUGCUCUUAUUUCCUUAUUACACCAUAAGGAUAUGUAGGCAGGAGAUUGUUGUAUCUUUGCGAGCACAAUAAUAAAAAACCUCUCAUUUUCCUUUCUAAGGUUCUCAUCAAUUUCCAUUUUUAAUAAUUUUAUAACCCAAAGAUAACAAACAAACAUAAAUUAACACUCGAAACGCACAUUAGAACUAAAAAGUUCCCGUUGAGUACAACGGACGUAACGGGUGCUAAUAUAUUUUCCUUACGUAAUCCACUCCCGAACUCGAAUAUGGUUGCGACGACCAUUAUUCUAUUUCCUAAAAGAUUUUAUCGAUAUUUUUCUAUUCCUUCAUUGGGAUAAAUAAAGUUCGGUGGCGACUCUGUUCGAACGUAAAUUUUUUCCGCGACCAUCGCGAAGAAUCGCAUUUUUUGAGAUGCGACAGGUAUUAUUCUCUACGUUGAUUCCUCCCAACAAAUCUUUCACCAGAUUUCUCAAAUGAGGGCACUGAGCAAGUAUUAGAACCAAAUGGUAACCCCAUUUUCCUAGGUAGCCAAUCCUUCAUCUUGCAAGCAAAUUAUGGCACUCUUGAUGGAGGAGUAAGACUAGGAAGAACAAGUGAUUUAAAGUGUCUAGUUACCGUCUUACAAAUUUAGAAUCAAAUCCCUUCAAAUUUAGAAAAGAUAAUUUUGAUAUACAUUAUAACGGCAAGAAUAACAUUGCUCUAAAAACAAGUGAUGCUCGUGAGACGCAUGGUUACUUUAUUACUAGAAAAUAUCCAAAGCUUAAAAGGCUUUUGUUGACUCAAUAACUUAACACGUGUGUGAAACAUUUGUCACAUGCUUGUUCCAAAUAAAAGGGUGCUUCACAUCAUUACUACUGUAUUAUAUAUAGAGGCAUAUAGUUAACCAACAAACUCACAAACAAAAACAUCCUUAAUCACCUAACAAUGAAACCUCUUUCACCACUCACCCUUUCCUUUUUCCUCUUUGUUUUCAUCACCACUCUUUCACUAGCUUUCUCAAAUGAAGAUGUUGAGCAAGUAUUGGACGUUAAUGGCAAGCCCAUUUUCCCCGGUGGCCAAUACUACAUCUUGCCAGCACAUCCCUGGCCUCCGGCGGAGGAGUAAGACUCGGAAGAACGGUGAUUUAACCUGUCCAGUCACCGUCCUACAAGACCCGCGAGAAGUUAAAAACGGUCUACCAGUGAAGUUUGUUAUACCAGAAAUAUCUACUGGUAAUAUUUUCACUGGUACACCAAUUGAAAUAGAGUAUACAAAGAAACCUAAUUGUGCAAAUCAUCAAUGGUUAGUAUUUGUUGACAUUGUUAUUCAAAAGGCCUGUGUUGGUAUUGUGGUCCUGAGAAUUACCCUGGUAUUCAAACAUUGAGUGGAUUAUUUAAGAUUGAGAAGCAUGAAUCUGGAUUUGGCUAUAAGCUUGGAUUUUGUAUUAAGGGUUCUCCUACUUGUUUGGAUGUUGGAAGAUUUGAUAAUGAUGAAGCUGGAAGAAGGUUGAAUUUGACUGAGCAUGAGUCCUUUCAAGUUGUGUUUGUUGAAGCUGAGGCUAAUGAUGCUGAGUUUAUUAAGUCUGUUGUUUGAAUUUUAGUUUAGUAUAAUUAAGCUAGAUUGUGUGAGUUUUAGUUCUUGCACAGUUUUAAGCCUAUAAUAAAAUGGAAAUAUUUGUGUUCAAUGUUUUCUCUCUUCAAUUAUUAUUCUCUCUCUCUUUCUCUCUCUAUAUAUCAUUAUCUCUCUCUAGUUGUGCAAAAUCAUUAAGGAUAAGUUUUGUUAUUAUAUUUUUGGAUUGAGAUCUUAAAUGGUUUUGUCAUUGAUUGUUUCAAGGAAUGUUCACGUGGAUACAGCACAAAUGUAUGGUCAAACUGAGGUACCAUGCCAUAGGUACCAACCCUAUUAUGUUUAGGCAGUUUUGGUAACUUUUCAGGGUAAAACAGUAAUGUACUUUGCCCACGAGGAGCUCGUGGUUAUGAUUUUGUAUAAAUAACUAUUCUUUCUAAAAUAUUGUUUUUUCUAUUAUUUGAUUUCUAAAUUAUAAAAAUUAUGUAUAUUUUUUUAAUUAAUUAUGUGUAGGCGUAGGUUUUUGGUAUAUUUUUUUAAUUAAAAAAAAUUAGAAACAUUGAAAAGUAUUUGUUAGGUGUAGGUUUCCUAUUCUAAAGCCGACUAUACUUUCUUUUAUAGGUUUUAUUAUUAUUUUUAUAAUCAAAAGAGAGAUUUUUUUUUUAAAUAAUCAAGUAUUUUAAUUUAAUUUUUAAAAUAAUUAUUUUUUAAAAAAUUUAUGAAAAUAAUCAAUUUUUCAAAAACAUUUAAUAUAAGCGUCAAUUGGAUUGACGUAUCCAAUGAAAAUGUUAUACAUUGGUGUCACAUGCACUAACGCAUCAUUGACCAUGAUGCCACUAGAAAUUGUGCAUGCAUGUGUAGGGGCCACAUGCAAUGGCGCAUGCAUAAUCUAUUUUAUGUGUGCGACAAUGCAUGUGGCUACUGCUCCACCAAUCAUCUAUAAAUACAACAUCCCCUCCCAUAAAUUUUCACACAUUUUUUUACCAUCUCCUUCCAUUUUUCCUUCAAUCUCCUUCAAUUUUCUUUAAAAUAUUUUCAUAUUCAUACUUUUGUCCUUAUAUUCACAAGAGAAAUGUCGAUUUAAUUUUUUCAAUAGUGCGGUCUCCGAUGAAGAUCUGACUUUGGAAUGUAGAUAUGUUUGAACAUCUUAACAGGACCUUGAAUUGUUGUUUAGAUGGAGAAAUUGAAGAUAGCGAAAGGAUCAGAAGAAUUCAAUGACUUGAUACGACGUUCAACAAAAAUGGAGAAGUUUGUUUCUAGGUCAAUGUUAAAACUGACAGAAACGUUCACAUGAUGAUGUAUAUUUCUCACAAAAUUAUUUUGAUGGUUGUAAUCGCAUAAUUAUGUUAUUUAUGUGUUGUAUUUGUUUGUGAUUGGUUGUGUUAUUUAUGUUUUUUAUCUGUUGUAUUUGUUGUAGUUGAUUGUGUUGUUGUUUAAUUAUUGUAUUUGUUCUGCUUAUCAUAUGAAAUGAAUGUUGUUUUUAAUAUAAAGUAAAAGACUUAUAAUUAAAAUUAUGUUGUUGUGAUUGGUCCAACACUGAGAGAGUUUGUACAAUUAUGAUCGGGCUGGCGACAUGAACUACAUAAUCUAACCAUUUUGUUCGCCUUAUCUAUAUCGGUUCGAAUACAGGUGCUGUUUGGGCAGCCUUUUUUCUUUCUUCGCAUUAUUUCGUUGUACCAGAGAAUCUCUCUUUGACAUGCAGACCAGUAAUCCUCUUUUUCUAUCACCAAAAAGCUAAUUUUGUAAACAUUGCAAAGGUUUAUGACUUUGUAAACGUCGGAUAGUAAGUUGGAAGGAUCAUGUUGAACCUUUGAACAUGCCACUAUAACAUGGGAGCAAGGCAUACGAAAGGCUUGAAACUUUUCAUAGUCGCACCAACCUCUAUCUAGUUCCACUCGAUAAUGUCCCCUCGACAUGUCUUCAUUGUGAUCCAUUGGCUUAGCAACACUGUACCAAUCUUUAGUACGGUAGGUUUCAUAUGCCUUUAAAGAUAGAGUUCAUUAAUUCCACAAGAUUUGUUAUCUUGUGGCCCAAUAGUUGACUGUUGUCGUAUUCUCUAGUCCACUUCUCCAAUGGAAUAUUGUCAAUCCACCUUACUGCAUAUGCGUUUGACAAUCUGAUGUCUUUGCGGUAGUGUUUGAAAGAAGGUUCUGUUAAUGCGUACCCUGUGUUAUCAACCUUCUUCCGCAAUGUUUUGUCUUUGAUCUCCCGCAUGAAAAUUUGAGCGGUAUAUCUAAUGCAGUAGACAUACGUCGAAGAAGGAUCCUACAAGCCAUUAUCAAUGUUUUUACAGGCACUCAAAAUUUAAGGGUAUUUGUCUAAGAUCAAACAUAAGUCAGGCUGAGGAGCAAUGUGCAAUCAGAGAUUUUUGAGGAAAAAACUCCAUCCCCCAGCAGUCUCCCCUUCAACUAGUGUAAAGGUGAUUGGACCAGACGAUGUAUUACUACUAAACAACUCCACCUUUAAUUUAAAAAAUGAUCCAAUUACAUAACCUCCAAUCAUGUCAAAUUCUUAUAAAAUUUAUCUAGAGGUCGUAUCUGGGUCUUGAUCAUCAGGUUAACCAUGAUGAUGAUGCAAUUUAGACAGCAAAAAAACCAAUCAUCUGAUUCACUACAAAUUCUUAUACAGUUUAUCUGAAAGUUGUAUUUGUGUCUUGAUCAUCAGGUUAACCAUGAUGAUGAUGCAAUUUGGACAUCAAAAACACCAAUCAUCUGGUUCACUACUAUGGAGAUGUACCAGAGUGACCGUGUAAAACUGCAGUUUGACAUGCAACAAUAAAUUCCAUAACCUCCGACGUGUUUGGGAGUUUGGCAUCAACAAAGAGUCGAUGUCCAAUUGGAUUAUUCCGAUUGGAGAGACUUUGUAAAAGAGAUGUAUCGUGAUUAGAGGAAUCGACAACAACACAUUUUAAACGAACCAAUCAUACAAGGUGCCAGAUCAACUCAACAUUAUAUGGCAUGGUUUAGGUCAGUUACAACGCCACAGUUUGUGUCUAAGCCAAGGUAUUUGAUUGAUCCACGCCAACGAGCUUCAUCAUCAAACACCUAACAACAAAUCCCGGCCCAAGAGCAAUGUCAACCCACCGAACCCCAACAUCCAACCUCACAUCAUCACCCUACCAUAUACACCAAACCACCAAACACCCAACCUCGCAACCAAUUUAUGCCACACACACAAACUCAAAACCAGGAACCAAACCUAACCACCAAUAAUCAAACACAACUACCACAUUUGUCUAUAGCCCAGAUGAUUCAUACGAUUCAACCUCAUGUCAUCAUAGUCCCCCACUUAUGAACACCCAAACAUCCCAUCGCCAUAACACCUAACCAUUGUUUGACUUUAUUACACCAUAGUAACCAUUGUUUCGUUUCCAAAAUGAUUUAAUGUCCCAUUCGGGCAACCAUACCGUCCACAAACAACCCAACCACAACGACCCAACUACGGCAACAUGGGCACCGAACUCAAUUACGACAACACUGUUGGCGGCAACAAACCUAGCUAUUGGGGAGAAAUGAUGACAAAUUCAUCAAAUACCGUUGGAUCUUCCACCGGACCAUCACACCAGCCACCACUACAUCAUGUCAGCACUCAAAGACCUCAAACACCUCAGGGAAAUCGUGAGAGACCUCGAAGGCAGGCCAACACACCAGAAUGUGGAACAAGGAAACAUUUAAAUCGGGCGGGUAAUUGAUGUUCUUGUCAGUUAUUAUGUAUUUUAACUUUAUAUCAUAAUAUUAAUAAUUAUUAUUCAUUUACCUAUUUAUUUUUUUUAUUUAUAAGUAUAACAUAUAAAAUAAUAUAUAUAUCAUGCGUCACAUGCAAUGACGCAUACACUUGAUAUAUAGUAAGUAUGCGCCAAUUGCAUUGGUUUCACUGCAUGCAGGUGCCAAUGAUAUUGGCGCCUAUGUUCAAUGAUAACAUGCAUGUGCCAGUCCAACUAGCGCAUGCUUUAGAGGUGUGCAUGAAACAUGUUUAUAUUGGUAAAUAACUUGAAAUAGUUAUUAUUUUGGAAAUUAAAUUGAAAAUACUUGGUUAUUGUUUUAAAAAAUCCAAAGUGAAUUGUAUUAAAAUAAAGUACAAAUCGGGAUAACAAUGUAUAUCCAUGAGUAUCAGUGGUAGUUCUCUGUUUAGUAAAUAUGAUACCUGCCACACUCCAAAUUUUGAUCUAUAUCAUUUCCAUAUCAUUCUAUCAUACAUUGCAUACAUCUCAUGCAUAAUGAAUUGGGGUUUUGUGUGAUUUUUUUUUAAAUAAUCACUAUUUUUAAAAAUAAUACUAAAAUAACAUACUUUUUUUAAAAAAAAAAUAUCAAUAUAAUCACUUAAAAAAAAUUAUCCGGGUAAAAUAGUCAUCAUACCAAAUGGCGCAUCAUUUAGGUAAUUGAACUAAGACGCCAUACUUAGUGGCUCAUGCAUGCAACUCAAACCAAUGCAACUGGCGCAUGCUUUGGGAUGUUGCGCUAUGACGCCAUUGCAUGUGGCGCAUGCACGCAUGCAUAGUGCAUAUGCCAAUCCAUGUGGCUAUUAAUUUUUCUUUCACCUCUUUAAAUACAGCGUCACCUACCAUUGUUUUUCACACAUCUUCUUACCACCUCCUUUCAUUUUUCUUCAAUCUCCUUCAAUUUUUCUUCAAAAUUUUUUCAUAUAUUUGUCCUUAUAUUCACAAGAGAAAUGUUGAUUUAAUUUAUUCGACAGUAAAGCCUCUGAUGAAUAUUCAACUACGGAAUAUAGAGACGUUUGAACAUCUUAAUAGGACCUUGAUGUGUUGGUUAGAUGAAGACAUUGCAGAGGGUGAAAAGAUCAAAAGAAUUCAAAAGUUUGAUACAACGUUCAACCAAAAUGGAGAAGUUCGUUUCCGGGUGAAUGUUAAAACUGACAGAGAGUUCACAUGAUGAUGUAUAGUUCUCACAAAAUUGUUUUGAUGGUUGUAAUCACAUAGUUAUGUUGUUUAGUCGUUGUAUUGUUUGUGAUGUCGUUUAAUUAUUGUAAUUGUUUGGGUUUUUGUUUAAUUGUUAUUUAAAUUAUUGUUUAGUUGUUUUUUUUUCAAAUUAUUAUAUCUGAAUGUUAUGAUAUUUAUGAAAUGAAAGUUAUUUUUAAUAUAAAGCAAAAGAGGAUAAUUAUAAGAGCAGUUUUGGAAAUUUAUGAUAAUAUUUUAUUACAUGAGCAAGUUGGUUUGAAAGUCCUAUUUUACCAUUUUAUCACUUUUCUUUUAUGUAAAAAUUUGGUACAGAAUAAAUAUUUGCUAUUAAAACAUUUUUCAAAAUCUAAUUUGUAUAAAUAAAAUUAACAUAAAAAUUGGUUGUGUUCACGAUUAUUUAUUUAUUUUUAUGAGAUUUUUGAAGGAGGAUAAUUAUUUAUCACUAAUUAAUUAAUUAAAUUUAAAUAUUUACAAAUUAUAAAUAAAAAAAGAGGAUACUUAAUUUAUAUUUAGAAUAAUAAGAAAACUAUAAUAUAAGAAUAAUUAACAAAAAAAAUAUAAGAAUAAUAAGAAUAACUAUAAGAAUAAUAAGAAUAACUAUAAUAUAAGAAUAACUACAAUAUAAAAAUAACUAUUGAUAUUAAGAAUAAUAAGAAUAACUAUAAUAUAAGAGAAUAAUUAACAUUCACGAGAGAAAUAUAAUUUUUAAUUUACAAAAAAUAUUUUAAAGAAAAAUAAUAAUAGCUAUAAUCACUAUAAAUAAAAUAGUUGUAGUCACCUGAUAUUCGCGCUACAACGUGAAAAAUCACUUCACAACACGUUUUUAGCGACAUGAACUUUCACACGGUAGGAGCACGGGUGGCAACUCUGUUGCCACGUGAAAAUCACGUUGUAAUUUUAUCACGUGAAAUUCACUUCACAACACGUUUUCCAGCUUUAUCUACUGUAAUUCAGAAUAACAGAGAUGACAAAUAAGGUGACAGUGACUUGCGACGUGAUUUUCACGUGGCAAAGUUGUGAAGUGAAAAUUUACUCACCAUACUUAUACUGUAUGCUAAGUCAGACCUUUGUGACAUAAGUAUCGAAUUGACCCAAUAAUUCUUCUAUAUUGGAUUGGGUCGACAUCAUCUUCAUCUGAAUCUUUCGACAGUUGUAAUUUGGGCUCAACUGGAGUCGAAGUUGGGUUGCAAUCUUGCAUCUCAAAUCUCUUGAGUAUUUCACCUGCAUACCUUCUUUAAUGCAUCAUCAAACCUCUACCACUCUUGUAGAAUUUGAUGCCAAGGAAAUAUGAAAUGUCACCAGAUCUGACAUUUUGAAUUCCUUGUUGAGAUCACCUUUGAAGUCUUUGAUCUCCUUCUUGCAGCUACCUGUUAUCAACAAGUCAUCGACAUAGAGACAUGGUAUACUCAAUUCGCUCUUUCUUCUUCUUACAUAUACUCCAUAUUCAGUUGUGCACUUCACAAAUUCCUUCUCCAUUAAAAAUACAUUUAUCUUCUUGUUCCAAGCUCUUGGAGUUUGUUUAAGCCCGUAUAGGGCUUUAUGCAACAUGUAUACCUUUCUUUCUUCGCCUUGUUUCACAAAUCCAGGUUGUUGUGCAACAUAAAAUUCUUCUUCUAAGGGGUCAUUCAGGAAUGCAUAUUUCACAUCCAUCUAACACAUUUGCCAGUUGUUCAUGUUUGCUAGACCAACAACCAACCUGGUUGUUUCGAUCCUAGCAACAGGUGCAAAAAAUUCGUCGAAGUCGAUUCCUUAUAUCUGAAGAAAUCCUUUCACCACAAGUCCCAUCUUGUGUCAAGUUACAUCUCCUUUGGGAUUCAACUUCACCUUGUAUACCCACUUCAUAUUGAUUGCCUUCUUGUCUUCGUUCAUUUCUUUCACCUACUUCGAAUCUUUCAAUGCCUCAAAUGCAUUAACUGGUUCAACAUCUGUGUAGAAAGCAUAUUGUACCAUCUCACCUUCUCCAUUGACCACAUCAUCUGAUAUAAUCACACAUUCUUGCAACUUUGCAGGCAUGUGUCUUGUUCUUUGAGGUCUGCUUGGGCCUACUUCACCUCUGACUUCUUGUCGAACUUUUUUUCCGACUUCACUUGUUGGUUCAUCACAUAAUAUUCUCACUGAAUCCUUCUUAACAUUCUCAAUCCAAUCCCAUUCCUUAAGCUUGUCUAUGAUCACGUCCCUGUUGAUCGCCACUUGCUUGUUCACUGGGUCGAACAACUUGUAUCCUUCAGUUGAAUGAUAUCCUAUCAGGAUCAUCUAACUCGACUUGUCAUCAAGUUUCUUCUCAACCAAUCUGGCACAUGUCUAUGUGCUAUAGAUCCAAACACCUUUAGAUGACUUAGGCUAGGCUUGACACCAAACCAACUUUCUUCUGGCGUGAUUUCUUCUAGCUUCUUUGUCGGAUAUUUAUUCAGGAUAUAUGUUGCAGUGAACACAACUUCUACCCAUAAUUCUUUGGAUAAAUGCUUUCCUUUCAACAUAUUUCUCACCAUAUUCAUGAUGGUUCUAUUUUUCCUUUUUGCGACUCCAUUCUGUUGUGGAGUGUAGGGUGGCACCACCUCACGCACAAUCCCUUCUUUCACAUAUAAUGCGUUGAAGUCUUUCGAGAUAUAUUUUCCACCACCAUCAGUCCUCGGAAUCUCGAGCUUUUGACUGCUCUGUCUUUCAACCAUAGAUUUAAACUUGGCAAAUACCUCGAUCAUUUCACUUUUCUUCUUGAUCAAGUAAGCCCACGGUUUUUGACUGAAAUCAUAUAUGAAUGUAACAAAGUAUCUGUUAUCUCCAAUCGAAUCCACCUGGAUAGGACCACACACAUCAGAGUAUAUGACUUCAAGAAUUACCUUCGACCUGCUUUCUGCAUUCUUACUGAAGUUGUUCUUGUGUUGCUUCGUCUGCACACAUUCUUCACACACUUCAUUUGGACUGUAGAUUUUUGGUAAUACUGAAACCAUAUUUUUUCUCUUCAAAUCUUUGAUGUCUUUGAAAUUGAGAUGACCAAGUCUAUAAUGCCAUAUCCAUUCAUCUCUACUGGCUUCUGUUGCAAGACAUUUAUGCUCCAUCACAUUAAGCUCAAUCUUGAAGGUUCUAUUCUGAGACAUUAGAGCCUUCAAGAUCAACAUUCCAUUUGAGUCGAGAACUUGCAUCAUCUUGUCUUUGAUCGACACCUUAUAGUUCUUUUCGACUAACUUCCCUAUGCUGAGAAAAUUGCUCUUCAUGCCUGGUAUGUACAACACAUUUGAAAUUAUUUACCUCUUUCCAUCUUUCCUCAUAAUCAGAACAUCACCAACACCUUCAACUUCUAGAGUAUUGUCAUUGCAAAUUUCACCACGUUCUUCAUUAAGGGCUUUAUGUUGACAAACCAAUCUUUCCUUCCAGACAUGUGUGAUGAACAUCCUGAGUCCAAGUACCACUGGUCCUUGAAUCUCUCUUCAUCUAUCGUUGUAACCAUGAACAACAUCUCUUCUUCUUCAUGUUUCAUCAGCUUUGCAUUAGUUUCUUGAUUCUUCUGCUUUUCUGGACAAUCACUAGAAUAGUGAACAUGCUUCUGACAAUUGUAACACUGAAUGCGACUCUUGUCUAGUUUUCGACCACCACCUCUUCCUCUAGCUGCAACACCACCUCUUUGGUUGCCUUGGUUCCAGGGUUUUCUCUUAUUCGACCAGUUUCCUUCUUGCUUAUUUCGACCAGUCGAAUUGUUUAGCCUCUUCUUCCUUUGUUGUCAUUCCAACUUUACUUUGCAUUUCCUUUCUUUUGUUGAUUGCACCUGUAAAGCCACACCACUCUUCGACUUUCCUGCAGCUCUUUCAGUCAUUCUUUGUUCAUGAGAUUCAAGCGUCCCUUGAAGCUCUUCCUUUAUCAGUUUUGACAAAUCUUUCGACUCUUCUAUGGCUACUACCACGUGGUCGAAUUUUGGAGCCAACGACCUAAAAAUCUUUCCAACAACAAAUCUUGAUGCCAACACUUCUCCAUAUACCUUGAUUUGAUUCACCAGUUUCAUAACCUUAGUGAAGAAAUCAGUUAUGCUUUCAUCGUCUUCCAUCUGAAGCAAUUCAUACGUCCUUUUGUGAAUUUAUAGCCUCACCUCUUUCACCUCCUUUGCGCCUCCAAACGACUUCUCCAGAAUUCCUCAUGUUUCUUUUGCUGACUCUACAUUACUAACCUUUUCAAAAUUAUUUGAAUCAACACAUUGAUGGAUUAUAAAGAGAGUUGUAUAACAGUUCUUUUUCAAUUCUUUAUGUGCAACCCUUUCUUGACCCGUCACGUUUUCUACAGGCGUUGUUACUCUUUCCUUCACAAGAUCCCAAAGAUCUUGAUAACAGAACACAACCUUCAUCUAGUUUCACAAAUUCUCAUAAUUAUUGUUCUUGAGAAUCAGAAGAUUCGUUGAAAAAUACUCGUUUGGAUGAUUCAUAGCCAUCGUGAUUUUCUUCCCACUAAUCGCUUAAAAAGGAACCUCUAGAUACCCGAUGUUGGAAAUCCACCAUAAUUUAUGGAGAAUUUCUAUAAGUCUUGAUGAACAAGAUUGUUAUCAAUGCAAUGACAAUGAAAAGAAAAGAACGAUUGAGAAAGAAAGAAAAUAACGUUGGAGAAGAAGAAGAAUAUUUUCUGCAGAAUUUUCUCUCUGCCCACAACCUGUGAAAAACUUCUUUAUUCACUUUACAAUUACAAAAUUCUAUGAAUGCAAUGUUGAGUUGUUUUAAGAAUAAGGGUUACUCUCUCUAUUUGUAGAUUUAUGUUAACUUGCUCGCUAAACCAAAACUCAAAACUAUAAAAAUUUAAAAUAGUUAACACUCCUAGACAAAUAGGCCUAGAUACUUAUCAUUGGAUCAUACUUUAAGCAAAUAUUUUUCACACAAAUAUUUUUGACGUGUCCUUGACUAAUAAGUACAGCAAACAACAAAAAAAAAGUUUUUUUCACAAAAGGAUUAUCAUAAAUAAUACAAGACUAAUAUAUAUUUUUAAUAAAUAAAAAAAAUGGAACACAUUUCUUAUUAAUACAUAAAAAACACUAAAUAAAUAUUUGAGUUCAGAAAUCAAAUCCCUUCAAAUUCAGAAAAGAUAUUUUUGAUAAUUUAAUAGAGAUAUUUAAAUCCAAAUCAUAUUAACCGUAAUCAAUUCAUUAGUCAAAUAUAUUUGAUUUUAUAUAAAAAUAAGUCUUAUGUUAUUUAUAUAUUUCAUUUUGAUUAUAUCAAUUAUAAAUUAUAAUUUUUUUUAUAAUUAAUAAAUUUUAUUAUUUUUAUAGUUUACUAACAAUUAAUAUAUCAAUUAUAUUUAUGAUAAACCUGUCCUACAGACGGGUAUUAAAAAUAAGUGGUGCUCGUGAGACGCAUGGUUACUUUACUACUAAAAAUUAUCCAAAGCUUAAAAGACUUUUGUUAACUCAAUAACUUAACAUGUGUGUGAAACAUUUGUCACAUGCUUGUUCUAAAUAAAAGGGUGCUUCACUUCAUUACUAGUAUUAUAUAGAGAGGUAUAGUUAACCAACAAAAUCACAAACAUAAAAACAUCCUUAAUCACCUAACAAUGAAACCUCUUUCACCACUCACCCUUUCCUUUUUCUUCUUUGUUUUCAUCACCACUCUUUCACUAGCUUUCUCAAAUGAAGAUGUUGAGCAAGUAUUGGACAUUAACGGCAACCCCAUUUUCCCCGGUGUCCAAUACUUCAUCUUGCCAGCAAUCCGUGGCCCUGCAGGCGGAGGAGUAAGACUCGGAAUAACCGGUGAUUUAACCUGUCCAGUCACUGUCCUACAAGACCGCCAAGAAGUUAAAUACGGUCUACCAGUGAAGUUCGUUAUACCAGAAAUAUCUCAUGGUAUAAUUUUCACUGGUACACCAAUUGAAAUAGAGUAUGCAAAGAAACCUAAUUGUGCAAAAUCAUCAAAAUGGUUAGUAUUUGUUGACAAUGUUAUUCAAAAGGCUUGUCUUGGUAUUGGUGGUCCUGAAAAUUACCCUGGUGUGCAAACAUUGAGUGGAUUAUUUAAGAUUGAGAAGCAUGAAUCUGGAUUUGGCUAUAAGCUUGGAUUUUGUGUUAAGGGUUCUCCUACUUGUUUGGAUGUUGGAAGAUUUGAUAAUGAUGAAGAUGGAAGA